ensembl:misc_RNA Metazoa_SRP Metazoan signal recognition particle RNA
GCUGGGUGCAGUGGCGCGUGCCUGUAGUCCCAGCUACUCAGGAGGCUGAGGCUGGAGGAUCACUUGAGCCCAGGAGUUCUGGGCUGUAGUGCGCUCUGCCAAUCGGGUGUCCACACUAAGUUCAGCAUCAAUACAGUGACCUCCCGGGAGCAGGGGGGACCACCAGGUUGCCUAAGGUGGGGUGAACUGGCCCAGGUUGGAAAUGGAGGACAUCAAAAUUCCCAUACUGAUCAGUAGUGGGAUUGUGCCUGUUGAGUAGCCCCUGCAACAUAGAGAGCCUGUCUCUAAAAAAAUAAUAAAAAUUUU